AGUGAACGCUGGCGGUAGGCCUAACACAUGCAAGUCGAACGGCAGCACAGUAAGAGCUUGCUCUUACGGGUGGCGAGUGGCGGACGGGUGAGGAAUACAUCGGAAUCUACUUUUUCGUGGGGGAUAACGUAGGGAAACUUACGCUAAUACCUCAUACGACCUACGGGUGAAAGCAGGGGAUCUUCGGACCUUGCGCGAUUGAAUUAGCCGAUGUCGGAUUAGCUAGUUGGCGGGGUAAAGGCCCACCAAGGCGACGAUCCGUAGCUGGUCUGAGAGGAUGAUCAGCCACACUGGAACUGAGACACGGUCCAGACUCCUACGGGAGGCAGCAGUGGGGAAUAUUGGACAAUGGGCGCAAGCCUGAUCCAGCCAUACCGCGUGGGUGAAGAAGGUCUUCGGGUUGUAAAGCCCUUUUGUUGGGAAAGAAAAGCAGCAGGUUAAUACCCCGCUGUUCUGACGGUACCCAAAGAAUAAGCACCGGCUAACUUCGUG
rnacentral:rRNA from 1 species